GCUGAUGUAGCUCAGCCGGCAGAGCAGCGCACUCGUAAUGCGCAGGUCGAGGGUUCGAAUCCCUCCAUCAGCU
rnacentral:tRNA from 1 species